rnacentral:rRNA from 1 species
CCUACGGGAGACAGCAGUGAGGAAUAUUGGUCAAUGGUCGGGAGACUGAACCAGCCAAGCCGCGUGAGGGAUGAAGGUACAGAGUAUCGUAAACCUCUUUUGUCAGGGAACAAAGGCGGGGACGUGUCCCCGGCUGAGUGUACCUGACGAACAAGCAUCGGCUAACUCCGUGCCAGCAGCCGCGGUAAUACGGGGGAUUCGAGCGUUAUCCGGAUUUAUUGGGUUAAAGGGGUGCGCAGGCGGUCUGUUAAGUCAGCGGUCAAGGCCCGGGGCUCAACCCCGGCCCGCCGUUGAAACUGGCAGUCUCGAGUUGGAGAGAAGUAUGCGGAAUGCGCGGUGUAGCGGUGAAAUGCAUAGAUAUCGCGCAGAACUCCGAUGGCGAAGGCAGCAGGCCGGCUCCAAACUGACGCUGAGGCACGAAAGCGUGGGUAGCGAACAGGAUUAGAUACCCCAGUAGUC